rnacentral:rRNA from 1 species
GGCGGCGUGCUUAACACAUGCAAGUCGAACGACGAUAGGACUUCGGUUCUAAAGUUAGUGGCGAACGGGUGAGUAAAACGCAGAUAACCAACCCUCAGGAUAGGGACAACAAGUCGAAAGAUUUUGCUAAUACCUAGUGGAGUGGUAGGGUCGCAUGACUCUACUAUAAAAGGCAACCUCUUAAAAAAUGUUGUCGCCAGAGGCUGGGGUCUGCGGCUGAUUAGCUGGUUGGUGAGGUAAAGGCUCACCAAGGCGACGAUCAGUAGCCGGUCUGAGAGGAUGAACGGCCACAAUGGGACUGAGAUACGGCCCAUACUCC